UACGUAGGUGGCAAGCGUUGUCCGGAUUUACUGGGCGUAAAGGGCGUGCAGGCGGUCUGUUAAGUCUGGGGUGAAAGCUCCCGGCUCAACUGGGAGAGGUCCUUGGAUACUGGCGGACUUGAGGGAGGCAGAGGAAAGUGGAAUUCCCGGUGUAGUGGUGAUAUGCGUAGAUAUCGGGAGGAACACCAGUGGCGAAGGCGGCUUUCUGGGCCUUACCUGACGCUGAGACGCGAAAGCGUGGGGAGCGAACCGG
rnacentral:rRNA from 1 species